UCGAGGGGCAGCAUGAACUUAGCUUGCUAAGUUUGAUGGCGACCGGCGCACGGGUGAGUAACACGUAUCCAACCUUCCGUUUACUCAGGGAUAGCCUUUCGAAAGAAAGAUUAAUACCUGAUAGUAUGGUGAGAUUGCAUGAUAACACCAUUAAAGAAUUUCGGUUAUCGAUGGGGAUGCGUUCCAUUAGAUAGUUGGCGGGGUAACGGCCCACCAAGCCUUCGAUGGAUAGGGGUUCUGAGAGGAAGGUCCCCACAUUGGAACUGAGACACGGUCCAAACUCC
rnacentral:rRNA from 1 species